AUGCACAACUACAUGUAUAUGGCAUUCAUUCCGAAUCCAUUCAAUAUCCUUCUUGCAUCACCCAUGGAACAAACCUUCCUAUAUAACUUGAUGUCAUUGUUUCUUCAUAGGAAUUGUCAUUCAUUAUCAAGUCUCAAUGCAUAUAUAGAUGUUGAUGGAUUUCAUCCACCAAUUCAUCCAAUAUUCUUCAUGCAUUGCAAAUGGAACUUUCCUUCAAAUGUAUAUCUCAGUGCAAACAUUAGUCCAUUAGGAUUGUCAUUUAAUUACCAAAACCACACAUGGGGACUGCAUGUACUUUCAAUCUCCCCCAUUUUGGUAAUUGAUGACAAUCUCAACAAGAGGGUUUAUAUAAUGAAUUUUUAA
rnacentral:rRNA from 1 species